UAGGGAAUAUUGGUCAAUGGGCGCAAGCCUGAACCAGCCAUCCCGCGUGCAGGAAGACGGCCCUAUGGGUUGUAAACUGCUUUUCCAGGGGGAGAAUUUUUCUGUCGUGACAGGAAUUGACGGUACCCUGGGAAUAAGCAUCGGCUAACUCCGUGCCAGCAGCCGCGGUAAUACGGAGGAUGCGAGCGUUAUCCGGAUUUAUUGGGUUUAGAGGGUGCGUAGGCGGAUAGAUAAGUCAGUGGUGAAAACCUGCAGCUUAACUGUAGACUUGCCAUUGAUACUGUUGGUCUUGAGUAUGGUUAAGGUAGGCGGAAUGUGUAAUGUAGCGGUGAAAUGCUUAGAUAUUACACAGAACACCGAUUGCGAAGGCAGCUUACUAAGCUACAACUGACACUGAAGCACGAAAGCGUGGGGAUCAAACA
rnacentral:rRNA from 1 species